rnacentral:miRNA from 1 species
GGAGAAUCGCUUGAACCUGGGAGAUGGAGGUUGCAGUGAGCUGAGAUCACGCCACUGCACUCCAGCCUGGG